GAAGAAGCUAAUUACACAUUUUGGGAACUCGAAAAGCUCGAAGCAUGCUGGAUCUCAGUUGAAGGACCUUUGUCUGCAAGCUAGUGAAGCACCAAUGAAUAACGAUUUGUUAAGAACGAUGAAUUUGGGGUUAUGGAGCACUGACCAAGCAGGUACGUCGAAUUCUACUAAUAGGAGCUUAAAUUGGAGUCCUGAAGUAGUUUAAGGAACAGUACAUUCAUCUGCAAUGGGGAGUGUAGCUCAGCACCCACUGUUCCAUUGAGCAGUACUCGAGUGGAUGUUCUUAGUACAAAUCUGGAGAAUAAGGGAAAAAAUGUCGGGGUAAAAGCUUCUCUUGAGGCUGAAACCAAGGUGAACCCAUGGAUGAAUUAAUUUACUGGUAAUCGAGUUGCAACAAAUGAAAUGAUGUUGAAUUGCAUUCUCCCUGAAUUGGUUAAUGAAUACCUGUGGUGAAGAUAGAAAAGCUGGAACAAGAACAGGAGGAAACCAAAUGGUGACAUUCGUUGGUAUUAUAUGUUAUUUGGGACAUGCCAUGCUAUAAUUAUAUGAAACUGUAUAUAUCACAAACUUGAACUUGUAUUGCUGCUCCAGAAUGAUAUACUAUCAUGAUGUAGGGUACUAUCUAGUGAAAUUACAACUGGAAGCGGAUAUGAAAGAGAUCUUAUUUACAGGGC
rnacentral:lncRNA from 1 species